AGUGAACGCUGGCGGUAGGCCUAACACAUGCAAGUCGAACGGCAGCACAGUAAGAGCUUGCUCUUACGGGUGGCGAGUGGCGGACGGGUGAGGAAUACAUCGGAAUCUACUUUUUCGUGGGGGAUAACGUAGGGAAACUUACGCUAAUACCGCAUACGACCUACGGGUGAAAGCAGGGGAUCUUCUGACCUUGCGCGAUUGAAUGAGCCGAUGUCGGAUUAGCUAGUUGGCGGGGUAAAGGCCCACCAAGGCGACGAUCCGUAGCUGGUCUGAGAGGAUGAUCAGCCACACUGGAACGGAGCCACGGUCCAGACUACUACGGGAGGCAGCAGUGGGGAAUAUUGGACAAAGGGGGCAAGCCUGAUCCAGCCAUACCGCGUGGGUGAAGAAGGCCUUCGGGUUGUAAAGCCCUUUUGUUGGGAAAGAAAAGCAGCAGGUUAAGACCCCGCUGUUCUGACGGUACCCAAAGAAUAAGCACCGGCUAACUUCGUG
rnacentral:rRNA from 1 species